CGUACAGAACCUUCCUUUAAGUGGGGGAUAGCCCAGAGAAAUUUGGAUUAAUACCCGUAAUAUUGUUGAGUGGCAUCACUUGAUAAUUAUAGAUUUAUCGCUUAGAGAUGGCUGUGCGGCUGAUUAGGUAGUUGGUGUGGGUAACGGCCUACCAAGCCAUCGAUCAGUAACUGGUGUGAGAGCACGACCAGUCACACGGGCACUGAGACACGGGCCCG
rnacentral:rRNA from 1 species